rnacentral:rRNA from 1 species
UACGGAGGGGGCUAGCGUUGUUCGGAAUUACUGGGCGUAAAGCGCACGUAGGCGGCUUUGCAAGUUAGAGGUGAAAGCCCGGGGCUCAACUCCGGAAUUGCCUUUAAAACUGCAUCGCUAGAAUUGUGGAGAGGUAAGUGGAAUUCCGAGUGUAGAGGUGAAAUUUCGUAGAUAUUCGGAAGAACACCAGUGGCGAAGGCGACUUACUGGACACAUAUUGACGCUGAGGUGCGAAAGCGUGGGGAGCAAACAGG